AUGAUUAUAUUGAUGCAUGAUAAAGCUUUUUAUUUUAUUUUUCAUGGUUUUCUCUACUAGUUAUCUAAACUAAUUAACUGUUUGAUCAUUUUAUUAAUAUCUUAUAUUUAAUAGCUCCAGAGGAGGUUCCUUCCCCUGCUGCAAUCUCUUUCCCCAACUCUCUGUCUGUCCACUGGGACAAACCCAACGGCAUCAUCACCAGAUACACACUCUACAAAGACAAUACUGUUGUGUACCAAGGCAACAUUACCAGCUUCAAUAUCACAGGUGUUGAUGUAUUCACUCCCCAUAAAUUGAUGUUGAGUGCCUGUACUGAGGCAGAAUGCACCAACAGUUCCCAAGUUACCCUGAUCACAGGUGGGCUGCUCCAAUGGAGGUGAACGGCCUGCUGGAGUUCUACACGCUGUACCAGUCUGCCUUAGGAGGAGAGCCGGCCAUCGUCAAUAACAGCUCUGAGCUUUUUGAGGAUUAUACAGUGCGGAACCUCGUCCCUGGAUCAACCUACCUGUUUCAGAUAGCAGUGCGUUCCUGCUUACUCUUUCACCAUACACACAUCUAAAUGAGAGAAGCAGAAUAUCAUGUCAUUGUGACUUUCAGUUAAUUUUAUCAAUUUAUUAGAAUGAGGCUUUAAAUAGGCAUAUUGAAUUUUGUAUAAAAUGAACAUUGUUUGUCAUUUCAG
ensembl:lncRNA